CUUGCAUCACCCACAGGGGAAUCAAGGGUCCCUCAUGCCCCCAGUGCUCUGGACAAGAUCCCUGCAAAGCUCUGGUCCACUGGCCCAGAUGAUAUUGGACGCCUUAAAGUUCCCCCCAUUGUGGUCACACUACUGCCAGGAGUGGCCCCUGCCCGAGGCAACCACUUAGCUGAUCAAGCCGCCAAGGAGGCAGCACAACAAGGGUGGG